GGAAUAUUGCGCAAUGGGCGAAAGCCUGACGCAGCGACGCUGCGUGCGGGAUGACGGCCUUCGGGUUGUAAACCGCUGUCGGGGGGGACGACGCUCUGACGGUACCCCCAAAGGAAGCACCGGCUAACUCUUUGCCCGCAGCCGCUGUAAUCCAGAGGGUGCGAGCGUUGUUCGGAAUUACUGGGCGUAAAGGGCGCGUAGGCGGUUCGGUAAGUAGGGGGUGAAAUUCCACGGCUCAACCGUGGGACGGCCUUCUAGACUGCCGGACUUGAGCACGGUAGAGGCAGAUGGAAUUCCCGGUGUAGCGGUGGAAUGCGUAGAGAUCGGGAAGAACACCAGUGGCGAAGGCGGUCUGCUGGGCCGUUGCUGACGCUGAGGCGCGACAGCGUGGGGAGCAAAC
rnacentral:rRNA from 1 species